rnacentral:rRNA from 1 species
GACGAACGCUGGCGGCGUGCUUGACACAUGCAAGUCGAACGGAAAGGCCUGCUUUCCCUUGUGGAUUGCGGGUACUCGAGUGGCGAACGGGUGAGUAACACGUGAGUGAUCUGCCCCCAACUUGGGUAUAAGCCUGGGAAACUGGGUCUAAUUCCCGAUAGGACUGCAGGGUGGUGCCUGUGGUGGAAAACGAUUUUCUAGUGGUUGGGGAUGAGCUCGCGGCCUAUCAGCUUGUUGGUGGGGUAAUGGCCUACCAAGGCGGCGACGGGUAGCCGGCCUGAGAGGGUGGACGGCCACAUUGGGACUGAGAUACGGCCCAGACUCCUACGGGAGGCAGCAGUGGGGAAUAUUACACAAUGGGCGGAAGCCUGAUGCAGCGACGCCGCGUGGGGGAUGACGGCCUUCGGGUUGUAAACUCCUUUCGACCGCGAGGAAGCCACCUGGUUGGAAGGGUGGUGACGGUAGUGGUAGAAGAAGCACCGGCUAACUACGUG